ensembl:rRNA predicted gene, 23342
GUUUACAGUCAUGCCACCUUGAUUGUGAAGUCUCCUCUGAUCUUGGAAGUUAAUCAGGGUCAGGCCUGGUUAGUAUUUGCAUGAGAGAUGUUGCAAGAAAAGAAAGAAGUAAGAG